rnacentral:rRNA from 1 species
AGUGAACGCUGGCGGUAGGGCUAACACAUGCAAGUCGAACGGCAGCACAGUAAGAGCUUGCUCUUACGGGUGGCGAGUGGCGGACGGGUGAGGAAUACAUCGGAAUCUACUUUUUCGUGGGGAUAACGUAGGGAAACUUACGCUAAUACCGCAUACGACCUACGGGUGAAAGCAGUGGAUCUUCGGACCUUGCGCGAUUGAAUGAGCCGAUGUCGGAUUAGCUAGUUGGCGGGGUAAAGGCCCACCAAGGCGACGAUCCGUAGCUGGUCUGAGAGGAUGAUCAGCCACACUGGAACUGAGACACGGUCCAGACUCCGACGGGAGGCAGCAGUGGGGAAUAUUGGACAAUGGGCGCAAGCCUGAUCCAGCCAUACCGCGUGGGUGAAGAAGGCCUUCGGGUUGUAAAGCCCUUUUGUUGGGAAAGAAAAGCAGCAGGUUAAUACCCCGCUGUUCUGACGGUACCCAAAGAAUAAGCACCGGCUAACUUCGUG